AUGGAGAAUCAGCAGCCCAGAUUCUGUGCCCUGCCAGUCUGAAUGUGCUUGACAAUAACAAAGAUCCAUAGCCUUUCUGAUGACACCCAGCACCUCGGAUUCCAUACACACCGGAGUUGAUUUAACCAUCUUACUGCCACCCUGAAAUCUGGGGUCCUUUAUUCUGGCAGGUAAGACCCUUUUGUGUUUCCUGAGACUGGCUUCAGAGACCCCCCCCCUCUAGGCAGAGGGCCAUGUCGCCUGCUGCGUGGUGCUGAGACUGUGCUGCAAUGCAGCAGGAGCUGCGGCGCGCGAGCGGCUGAGGGUCGGAGCUGUCCGGUGUCUGCUUCCCAGAGUGAGGAGUGAAAGAUGCAGGAGAGGGCUUGCAGGCAGUGCGAAGUGGCCAGGCGCCCAGGAAACCCAAGGGAAGAGUGAAGAUGAGGCCAGAGCCUGUGGCUUUUGCAGGAGGGCCAGAAAAGUGUGGGCUCUGGGAACGAUGGAGAGUCAUAAGGGGUUAGUGGACCAGGAGGUCUUUGGGGUCUCAAGGUGAGUCAGUUUGCCGUCCUAUGACUAAGAGUAAAGCGAGGGGGGCUGAAAGCAGCCGAGGCGGCUGCAAACAGCUUUGGGGGUUGGGGGGAAGCAUCAAUUUUUACCUUUCCAGCAAGGCUUAA